rnacentral:rRNA from 1 species
GAAACGACUGCUAAGACUGGAUAGGAGAUAAGAAGGCAUCUUCUUAUUUUUAAAAGACCUAGCAAUAGGUAUGCUUAAGGAGGGGCUUGCGUCACAUUAGUUAGUUGGUAGGGUAAAAGCCUACCAAGACAAUGAUGUGUAGCCGGGCUGAGAGGUUGAACGGCCACAUUGGAACUGAGACACGGUCCAAACUCCUACGGGAGGCAGCAGUAGGGAAUUUUCGGCAAUGGAGGAAACUCUGACCGAGCAACGCCGCGUGAACGAUGAAGUAUUUCGGUACGUAAAGUUCUUUUAUUAAGGAAGAAAAGAUGGUGGAAAAACCAUUAUGACGGUACUUAAUGAAUAAGCCCCGGCUAACUAUGUGCCAGCAGCCGCGGUAAUACAUAGGGGGCGAGCGUUAUCCGGAAUUAUUGGGCGUAAAGGGUGCGUAGGCGGUUUAAUAAGUUUAUGGUCUAAGUGCAAUGCUUAACAUUGUGAUGCUAUAAAAACUGUUUGACUAGAGUUGGAUAGAGGCAAGUGGAAUUCCAUGUGUAGUGGUAAAAUGCGUAAAUAUAUGGAGGAACACCAUGAGCGAAGGCGGCUUGCUGGGUCUUAACUGACGCUGAGGCACGAAAGCGUGGGGAGCAAACAGGAUUAGAUACCCUGGUAGUCCACGCCGUAAACGAUGAGUACUAGACGUUGGGUUAAACCAGUGUCGAAGUUAACACAUUAAGUACUCCGCCUGAGUAGUACGUACGCAAGUAUGAAACUUAAAGGAAUUGACGGGACUCCGCACAAGCGGUGGAUCAUGUUGUUUAAUUCGAAGGUACCCGAAAAACCUCACCAGGUCUUGACAUGUUUCUGCAAAGCUGUAGAAAUACAGCGGAGGUUAUCAGUUGCACAGGUGGUGCAUGGUUGUCGUCAGCUCGUGUCGUGAGAUGUUGGGUUAAGUCCCGCAACGAGCGCAACCCUUGUUGUUAAUUGCCAUCAUUAAGUUGGGGACUUUAGCAAGACUGCCAGUGAUAAAUUGGAGGAAGGUGGGGACGACGUCAAAUCAUCAUGCCCCUUAUGACCUGGGCUACAAACGUGAUACAAUGGCUGUUACAAAGGGUAGCUGAAGCGCAAGCUUUUGGCAAAUCUCAAAAAAACAGUCUCAGUUCGGAUUGAAGUCUGCAACUCGACUUCAUGAAGUUGGAAUCGCUAGUAAUCGCGAAUCAGCAUGUCGCGGUGAAUACGUUCUCGGGGUUUGUACACACCGCGCGUCA